rnacentral:rRNA from 1 species
UAUGGCUCAGGAUGAACGCUGGCGGCGUGCUUAACACAUGCAAGUCGAACGAAGCAAGUUCUUACGAUCCCUUCGGGGUGACGAGAUAUGACUGAGUGGCGGACGGGUGAGUAACGCGUGGGUAACCUGCCUUGUACAGGGGGACAACAGUUGGAAACGACUGCUAAUACCGUAUAAGGCGCACAGCAUCGCAUGAUGCAGUGUGAAAAGUUUUUUCGGUACAAGAUGGACCCGCGUCUGAUUAGCUAGUUGGUGAGGUAACGGCCCACCAAGGCGACGAUCAGUAGCCGACCUGAGAGGGUGACCGGCCACAUUGGGACUGAGACACGGCCCAAACUCCUACGGGAGGCAGCAGUGGGGAAUAUUGCACAAUGGGCGCAAGCCUGAUGCAGCGAACCGCCGCGUGAGCGAAGAAGUAUUUCGGUAUGUAAAGCUCUAUCAGCAGGGAAGAUAAUGACGGUACCUGACUAAGAAGCACCGGCUAAAUACGUGCCAGCAGCUGC